rnacentral:rRNA from 1 species
GAUGAACGCUGGCGGCGUGCCUAACACAUGNAAGUCGAGCGAUUCUCUUCGGAGAAGAGCGGCGGACGGGUGAGUAACGCGUGGGUAACCUGCCCUGUACACACGGAUAACAUACCGAAAGGUAUGCUAAUACGAGAUGAUAUAUUUUUAUUGCAUGAUAAAAAUAUCAAAGCUUUUGCGGUACAGGAUGGACCCGCGUCUGAUUAGCUAGUUGGUAAGGUAACGGCUUACCAAGGCGACGAUCAGUAACCGACCUGAGAGGGUGAUCGGCCGCACUGGAAUUGAGACACGGUCCAGACUCCUACGGGAGGCAGCAGUGGGGAAUAUUGCACAAUGGGCGAAAGCCUGAUGCAGCAACGCCGCGUGAGCGAUGAAGGCCUUCGGGUCGUAAAGCUCUGUCCUCAAGGAAGAUAAUGACGGUACUUGAGGAGGAAGCCCCGGCUAACUACGUGCCAGCAGCCGCGGUAAUACGUAGGGGGCUAGCGUUAUCCGGGAAUUACUGGGCGUAAAGGGUGCGUAGGCGGUCUUUCAAGCCAGAAGUGAAAGGCUACGGCUCAACCGUAGUAAGCUUUUGGAACUGUAGGACUUGAGUGCAGGAGAGGAGAGUGGAAUUCCUAGUGUAGCGGUGAAAUGCGUAGAUAUUAGGAGGAACACCAGUAGCGAAGGCGGCUCUCUGGACUGUAACUGACGCUGAGGCACGAAAGCGUGGGGGAGCAAACAGGAUUAGAUACCCUGGUAGUCCACGCCGUAAACGAUGAGUACUAGGUGUCGGGGGUUACCCCCCUUCGGUGCCGCAGCUAACGCAUUUAAGUACUCCGCCUGGGAAGUACGCUCGCAAGAGUGAAACUCAAAGGAAUUGACGGGGAACCCGCACAAGUAGCGGAGCAUGUGGUUUAAUUCGAAGCAACGCGAAGAACCUUUACCUAAGCCUUGACAUCCCAUUGACCUCUCCCUAAUCGGAGAUUUCCCUUCGGGGACAGUGGUGACAGGUGGUGCAUGGUUGUCGUCAGCUCGUGUCGUGAGAUGUUGGGUUAAGUCCCGCAACGAGCGCAACCCUUGCCUUUAGUUGCCAGCAUUAAGUUGGGCACUCUAGAGGGACUGCCGAGGAUAACUCGGAGGAAGGUGGGGAUGACGUCAAAUCAUCAUGCCCCUUAUGCUUAGGGCUACACACGUGCUACAAUGGGUGGUACAGAGGGUUGCCAAACCGUGAGGUGGAGCUAAUCCCUUAAAGCCAUUCUCAGUUCGGAUUGUAGGCUGAAACUCGCCUACAUGAAGCUGGAGUUACUAGUAAUCGCAGAUCAGAAUGCUGCGGUGAAUGCGUUCCCGGGUCU